rnacentral:rRNA from 1 species
ACUGGGCACUCUAGAAGAACUGCCGGUGACAAACCGGAGGAAGGUGGGGAUGACGUCAAAUCAUCAUGCCCUUUAUGUCCUGGGCUACACACGUGCUACAAUGGAUGGUACAGACGGAAGCGAAGCCGCGAGGUGGAGCAAAUCUGAGAAAGCCAUUCACAGUUCGGAUUGCAGGCUGCAACUCGCCUGCAUGAAGUCGGAAUCGCUAGUAAUCGCUGGUCAGCAUACAGCGGUGAAUACGUUCCCGGGCCUU